UACGAAGGGGGCUAGCGUUGCUCGGAAUCACUGGGCGUAAAGCGCACGUAGGCGGCUUUCUAAGUCAGGGGUGAAAUCCUGGAGCUCAACUCCAGAACUGCCUUUGAUACUGGAGAGCUUGAGUCCGGGAGAGGUGAGUGGAACUCCGAGUGUAGAGGUGAAAUUCGUAGAUAUUCGGAAGAACACCAGUGGCGAAGGCGGCUAACUGGCCCGGUACUGACGCUGAGGUGCGAAAGCGUGGGAGCAAACAGG
rnacentral:rRNA from 1 species